UGUCCAGGGAUGGGAAUCGAACCCACAGUGUUCCGCUUACCGGGCAGAUGCCAUGUCCACUAGGCUACCCGGCU